CGAGUUGAUUCGGGCUCCGGCCCGAUCCUCCCACCCUUUGUGUACCUACCUCUGUUGCUUUGGCGGGCCGCGGUCCCCCGCGGCCGCCCCCCCUCCCCGGGGGGUGGCUAGUGCCCGCCAGAGGACCAUCAAACUCCAGUCAGUGAACGUCGCAGUCUGAAAAAACAUUCAAUAAACUAAAACUUUCAACAACGGAUCUCUUGGUUCUGGCAUCGAUGAAGAACGCAGCGAAAUGCGAUAAGUAAUGUGAAUUGCAGAAUUCAGUGAAUCAUCGAAUCUUUGAACGCACAUUGCGCCCCUUGGUAUUCCGAGGGGCAUGCCUGUUCGAGCGUCAUUACAACCCUCAAGCUCUGCUUGGUAUUGGGCACCGCCCUUCUUCGGGCGCGCCUCAAAGACCUCGGCGGUGGCUGUCUUGCCUCAAGCGUAGUAGAAUACACCUCGCUUCGGAGCGCAGGGCGUCGCCCGCCGGACGAACCUUCUGAACUUUUCUCAAGGUUGACCUCGGAUCAG
rnacentral:rRNA from 1 species